rnacentral:lncRNA from 1 species
GGUCCAGGCAGGAGAUUGGGGCGGCGGAAGUGGCUGGGCGAGUGGGCGUGGCCUGUGGAGCCUGGAGAUGCGGCACAUGCGCAGUACGGCUUUAGCGCCCUGCGCCUGAUCCCGACCAGAGAAACGCUAUCUAUCCUCCAUUCUUCUGGCCCAAGACCAGUAAUCAGAUUCCUGGCUCUGGUAGAAUUUAUUUUUCCAAAGACCGCCACGGUGUUCCCAUCUGGCGUGCCCUUCCGACACCGCGGUGCCGUUCAGGAGCCACAGCAGACUGACUCCGGCGGAGUGGCCCUGCGUGGCUCUGAGGCGAAGACGGACAGAAAUGGUAAUCCGGCUGCUGCCUGGCUCUCUUGGCUCACGACGGCUGUGCUGGGAGGAACCCCAUUCCCCACUCAGACACCGCCACGGAGAGUAGACGCAGAUAUUCCAGGCUCACUCCGCGGAGGACAAAGCCCGUUCCAAGAAAACCCCGCUGCUGAGUCAUCCCCGGCUCUUUCGUCUUUCUGUCUGAGACUCCAGACAUCAUGGAGCCGCCUCUACUGUACUCUUUGAACUUCUGACCCACAAAGUCUGUUACAUAAUAAAAUGGAAACGUAACACCACACUGAGAUAACAUUCAGCCUCGCUAGGGUGGCCAUGAUAAAAGAAGACGAAUGAAGCUGGGAGUAACCCCAGCACUCUAGGAGGCUGAGGCAGGAGGACUGCAAGUUCAAGCCCCGCCUGGGAAAUGUAUUUAUUAUUUUUUCAAUUUAUUUUAUCCCCCUCCAACAAUCUCCCCUUCCUAAGUACAAAAGCUUUGUUUUCAUUUUUCCUUCUUUUUUUGGUACUGGGGAUCGAAUUUAGGAUCUUGCACUUGUGAGGCAGGCAGCGGAACC